rnacentral:rRNA from 1 species
UGGAGGCAGCAGUGGGGAAUUUUGCGCAAUGGGCGAAAGCCUGACGCAGCAACGCCGCGUGAGUGAUGAAGGUCUUCGGAUCGCAAAGCUCUUUCGGCCGGGACGAAAACGGCUGGGCUAAUAUCCCAGUCCUUGACGGUACCGGAAGAAGAAGCACCGGCUAACUCUGUGCCAGCAGCCGCGGUAAUACAGAGGGUGCGAGCGUUGUUCGGAAUCAUUGGGCGUAAAGCGCGUGUAGGCGGUGACGUAUGUCGCGUGUGAAAGCCCUCGGCUUAACCGGGGAAGUGCGCGCGAAACUACGUUGCUCGAGUGCCGGAGAGGGUGGCGGAAUUCCCGGUGUAGAGGUGAAAUUCGUAGAUAUCGGGAGGAACACCAGUGGCGAAGGCGGCCACCUGGACGGACACUGACGCUGAGACGCGAAAGCGUGGGUAGCAAACAGGCUUAGAUACCCCGGUAGUCCC